rnacentral:rRNA from 1 species
UACGAGAGGCCCAAACGUUAUUCGGAAUUACUGGGCUUAAAGAGUUCGUAGGCGGCAUUGCAAGUAGGGUGUGAAAGCCCUCGGCUCAACCGAGGAAUUGCGCUCUAAACUGCAGUGCUUGAGGAACCUAGAGGUGAGCAGAACAGAUGGUGGAGCGGUGAAAUGCGUUGAUAUCAUCUGGAAUACCGGAGGCGAAGGCGGCUCACUGGGAGUUUUCUGACGCUGAGGAGCGAAAGCGUGGGGAGCAAACAGG